CUGUAGUAAAAUAAUCUGCAUUUUACAGAUUUAAACGAGUGCACAAAUGAAAAUGCAUGUGUUGAAGAGGAAGUAUGCAUCAAUUACCCAAGGCAGCUACCACUGUAUGCCAACACCUUGUGUCAACUCAUACUGGGAUCAGAUAUCCAGGUCAUGUAUCAAGAUGUGCGCACGAGUGGCCAGAAGGGUGUUCUGGAAACACAAACUAUAGCCGAGGAUAGUGAAACAUGAGGCUGUAAUGCUGAACAGCAGCUCACUUAGACCCAUACGAGGAUACUGGUGAAACUUGCAGCCCCUUGGACUACACCUUGAGCCACUCACUCGUAACAGUGUAUGAUAUCACCAGUAACAAAUUAGAUGUCCCAUUACGAAUAAGAAUAGAAAACGGUGAAGGCAUUUUAUAUGCUCUAAAAGUAUUUUCCUAUAAAUGGUAUUACCAGGGUAAUGAUAAAAGCUUCCUCAUUCAGCAGGAACUACAAGACAGAACUGUACACAACUUACUAUGUCAUAUUACUGUAUAUAGAUUAGAUUAUUUUCUACCAUUUCAAUUUUUAUACUGUAAUGAAUUAUUUUAUAUAAAAUGAAUGUACUUGUUGUAAAAAGUAAUGUACAGUUAAAAGUUUUUGAAAAUAAGAUGAUCACAUGAGUGUAAUCUUGAAGCCACCAGUGUUAAAUGAGCCUUCCACUUAAAGGUACUGCCCACGUCAGAGAUUAACUGAGAGGACUUUUGAGUCCUAACUUAAAGAAUAUAAAUAAAUAAUAAUAAUAAAUAAA